rnacentral:rRNA from 1 species
AUACGGAGGGUGCAAGCGUUGUUGGGAAUUACUGGGCGUAAAGCGCGCGUAGGCGGUCUGUUAUGUCAGAUGUGAAAGUCCUCGGCUCAACCGGGGAAGUGCAUUUGAAACUGGCAGACUUGAGUACUGGAGGGGGUGGUGGAAUUCCCGGUGUAGAGGUGAAAUUCGUAGAUAUCGGGAGGAAUACCGGUGGCGAAGGCGACCGCCUGGCCAGAUACUGACGCUGAGGUGCGAAAGCGUGGGGAGCAAACAGGAUUAGAAACCCCAGUAGUCC